GGACCCGCACAAGCAGCGGAGCAUGUGGUUUAAUUCGAAGCAACGCGAAGAACCUUACCAAGACUUGACAUCGCAUGAAGGAUGCAGAAAUGCAAACGCCCUUCGGGGCAUGCAGACAGGUGGUGCAUGGUUGUCGUCAGCUCGUGUCGUGAGAUGUUGGGUUAAGUCCCGCAACGAGCGCAACCCUUAUCAAUAGUUGCCAAUAUUAAGUUAGGAACUCUAUUGAGACUGCCGUGGAUAACACGGAGGAAGGUGAGGAUGACGUCAAAUCAUCAUGCCCCUUACGUCUUGGGCUACACACGUGCUACAAUGGCUAUUACAAAGAGCAGCGAAACAGUAAUGUCAAGCGAAUCUCAUAAAGAUAGUCUCAGUUCAGAUUGUGGGCUGCAACCCGCCCACAUGAAGUAGGAGUUGCUAGUAAUCCCGAAUCAGAAUGUCGGGGUGAAUUCGUUCCCGGGUCUU
rnacentral:rRNA from 1 species